rnacentral:rRNA from 1 species
CCUACGGGAGGCAGCAGUGGGGAAUAUUGGACAAUGGGCGAAAGCCUGAUCCAGCCAUGCCGCGUGUGUGAAGAAGGUCUUCGGAUUGUAAAGCACUUUAAGUUGGGAGGAAGGGUUGUAGAUUAAUACUCUGCAAUUUUGACGUUACCGACAGAAUAAGCACCGGCUAACUCUGUGCCAGCAGCCGCGGUAAUACAGAGGGUGCAAGCGUUAAUCGGAAUUACUGGGCGUAAAGCGCGCGUAGGUGGUUUGUUAAGUUGGAUGUGAAAUCCCCGGGCUCAACCUGGGAACUGCAUUCAAAACUGACUGACUAGAGUAUGGUAGAGGGUGGUGGAAUUUCCUGUGUAGCGGUGAAAUGCGUAGAUAUAGGAAGGAACACCAGUGGCGAAGGCGACCACCUGGACUAAUACUGACACUGAGGUGCGAAAGCGCGGGGAGCAAACAGGAUUAGAUACCCUGGUAGUCCACGCCGUAAACGAUGUCAACUAGCCGUUGGAAGCCUUGAGCUUUUAGUGGCGCAGCUAACGCAUUAAGUUGACCGCCUGGGGGAUACGGCCGCAAGGUUAAAACCUCAAAAGGAAUUGACGG